rnacentral:sRNA from 1 species
ACAACAGCCACACUUUUUUGACUCGAGACGCUCCCGGCAGACAGAAAUAACAAGGAGGAAAAUGAUGAACCGUUCUUCAAGGACAUCUUCUCCUGUCUCAUCCGAGGGCCAAAACCAAAUUUCUUUUCGGCGUGGUGGUUGAUACAUUUUUCAUCAUGGCAUGUAUGGGUCAAGUGGGCUCUGCCGUAACCCUUGAUUUAAAAACUACUUUCUUUUACUUUUACUUUUUUUUUUUGGGGGGGGCGCUUCUUUGAAAGAGCCUCUUUUCAUCAGUCUCAGGUGCUUUUAUUGUACAGUAACACGCACAAAGGAGAGAAGCCUAUGAGCAAGCGUGGUUUUGACUUUUUUUUUUCCAUUCCUGGAAUGUUUCUCAACAUGACACCACUCAGACAGAUGCUUCUUAAGACCGGAAGCUUCAUCGCCUGACUUUAUCCUGCCAACAACUAACUAUCUAUCUCACUAGCUUCUACGGAGUAAGCUUCUCGUUAUUCCCAUGCGCAAACCAAGGCUGAGUAGAGAUACCUGGAAAUAACCAACUGUUUAUGAUUGAUUACUCGUCAAUUGGUACGCGAGGCGGCCACGGUAGAAACGCCCGUGUUCCGUGAUCGACCCGACAACGGCUGAACAGCUCCUGCGCUGGGAUCAUGCCGUCGCUUCUUAUCCAACAAAGACGGAACGGAACUGUCAAGGACUCCGCCUGGCGCUCCCUUUGUUUCUCGGAUAUACUCGUCAAGCCCUGGACUUGCAUUGUCGUGUUUCCCAUCGGUUGCACCUAAUUGUCUACAAUCAAAGUCGCCAGCAUCAUCGGCUUGGUAACUAUAUUCGAGGCACCUACGACUCCCAGCAUCACAUUGGGCCUUUGCAGCAAUUCCAUCGUUUUUCAUCGUUUCGUGGCUUUGAAACUGGCCCUGAGUGUCAGAGUUUUGUCAGAUUUCGUGGGCGCUUGACACGACGGGCACUAGGAUUAGUACACGAUUGUUGCCGUUUUGGCGUGCGUGGCUGGAUGUUGGCCGCUGGAAUUUGCCGUACGCUGUCCAAGGGUGUUGAGACUCCGCUUGCGUGA